rnacentral:lncRNA from 1 species
GUAAUUGGGCUCGGGUUGUAAUGGGUAGUAGGUUUGUUGAUUUGAAAAUUGCACUGGACUUUAAUUUUAUUUUGGUUUUAUUUGUUCUUUGGUUUAAUUGGGCUCGAGUAAAAAUGGGCUUGUACAGCUGCCCAUUUUUGCUCGUUGUCGUGUAACGAAAGCAGAGCAAAGACUAAGAAAGACCAAUUUUGUCCGGUCUCGCUGAUUCUUGACUUGUUCUGGUGGUUUUUUUCUUCAGG